UGUUGCGUGGAGCUGCCCCUAGUACGAGAGGACCGGGGUGGACGAACCGCUGGUGGACCAGUUGUGGGACGACCUGCAGGGCUGGGUAGCUACGUUCGGGAGGAAGAACCGCUGAAAGCAUCUAAGUGGGAAAUCCGCCACCAGAUGAGCACUCUCACUGGACUUGCCAGGUAAGGCCCCCUGGAGACGACAGGGAUACGCGACGGGAGGUGGAGGCG
rnacentral:rRNA from 1 species